UACGUAGGGGGCAAGCGUUGUCCGGAUUUAUUGGGCGUAAAGAGCGUGUAGGCGGCCGUACAGGUCAGCUGUGAAAACUCGAGGCUCAACCUCGAGACGUCGGUUGAAACCGUACGGCUAGAGUCCGGAAGAGGAGAGUGGAAUUCCCGGUGUAGCGGUGAAAUGCGCAGAUAUCGGGAAGAACACCCGUGGCGAAGGCGGCUCUCUGGGACGGUACUGACGCUGAGGCGCGAAAGCUAGGGGAGCAAACGGG
rnacentral:rRNA from 1 species